rnacentral:lncRNA from 1 species
CCUACUGCACGACUCCCCCAGUCAAGUGCUAUCAUUCUACAUAGAUGAAAAUAAACGUAGUGAGAUAUAAGCCCAAUACGUAGAUCACUACCCUUGCAUUCAUGCCUACACGCAUAUAAAUAAUAACAUGGCCUAUAAUUCAUCAGAAAGCGCACUGGUCUCACAGAGUACGGCCACACAUCAGAGUACAUUUAAUUGUUGUAUAAUGAGUAUAAUAUUCAGUUAACAGGGCAUCACUUGUUUUCAAGAUGGCAUUCACAUUUAUGCAUAUCACAGUUAUAGUGAGAUGUUCAUACAGAAUGCUAAAUUCAGACAAGUAGAACAGAUUUAGUUACUCUCGAAAUAGAAGCCACAUCGAACAGGCUAAGCCAAUCCUGUUUCUUGCGACUGUUACCCUCAUUCAGGAGAGAGGAUAAUGACAAGUGGAGGCCCCACUUCGUAAUAUCCUCACUCACGCACACAUCCUAGGGGCGCUUUAGGGUUUUUGAUAGACUGCGGCCUUGCAAGACACGACCCUCUCCUUACACCCACAGGCGAGAGGGCGUUACACUACCAUUGGAUGACCCAAUGCAUAGUGCCCAUGACAAUUUAGGGGGGGCGACCCUCCCUGUUAUUUACAGUCGCCUCUCGACUCCACUCAUAUCAUAGGAGUCGAGGUACAAUAUACCCAACUACCAAUGGAGGACCCGUUGUACAAUGGUCAUAUCACAUAUAUCAGUCUUAACAGAGUCAAACAUCCAACUACCAAUGGAGGACCCAUUGCGUAGCGGUCAUGGCGCAUAUAACAGAAUCGCAUAUAGCGGAAUCACAGUAUCCACUACCAAUGGAGGACCCAUUGCGUAGCGAUCAUGACACAUAUAACAUAAUCACAUAAUGACAAUGUCAAUGUUACAGAGUGACAUUAUCAACAUCACGUAAUGACAGUAUCAGUAUCACAUAAUGACAAUAUCAAUAUCACAUAAUAACAGUAUCAGUAUCAAAUAAUGGCAGUAUUAAUAUCACAUAAUGACAGUAUUAGUAUCAAAUAAUGACAGUAUUAGUAUCACAUAGUGACAGUAUCAGUAUCACAUAAUGACAGUAUCAGUUUCACAUAAUGACAAUAUCAAUAUCACAUAAUGGCAGUAUCAGUAUUACAUAAUGACAGUAUCAGUAUCACAUAAUGGCAGCUCCUGCAAUUCCAGGCAGUGAUGUUCGCUCACAACUAGGGUCAUAACUUUCGACUUGUUUAGAAUUUGAAGACGGUUCCAAAACCAAUUUUGUACUAGACACACCUAUCUUUCAAAUAAGAGUGGCUUGAAAAUAAUUGGACCUCUUUUGGCCCCUCAAAAGUUCAAGAGAAUGGAGGCAUUCCAUCUGAAAUCUGCUAUAUAAUAAAGGCAGUGACAUGUCUUCAAAAUUAAUUCCAUAUCUCCCAAACAAGAGGGAAUUUCGAAAUGUGCUUAACAUGUGAUUUCAAUCUUACUCAUAAAUAUUUCAAAUGGCAGUGGUUUGGAAGAAAACGAACUUCGCUUGGUUAGUUAAAAACCCAUGAUAACAGAGACAUCAGUUCUCCAUUUUUACUGAAACUGUCCACAGUGAACUACUGGUAUAUUUUGAAGCAUAACUCUACAUGCAUAAAGAAUUUGAGCAAGAUUUGAACAUAAGGAUUUUAAUAGGCACAUAUAUCUUUCCAUUGGUAGUGAUUUGAGGUCAAUUGAGCCUCAUUGGAUAGAUCAAAAGUGGAUUGCAAGAACAUGAAACCUUCUUGAAAAUUUACAGCACAACACAUUACUACUUAAUAUGAUACCCAAAUGGCCUCUAAUUUUGCUAAUUCUUAACUUAAACCUUCCACUUUCCAAUAGAUACACAAGGACACAAAAUUUCAGACUUUUUGUGAACGAACAAGGAGGAUUGAUGCUCAUUGUGGUCAUGCAAAUGCAAAUCACGUGGCUGGAAAAUCUACAGCAUAAAAGUGGGCAUAUCAUCACUCACACUUCUAUUAACAUGCUUAAUUCAUGGCGAACUCACACUUAGAGACCUACAAGGUAGUAAUCCACUUACCAUAAAUGUGUUGUGCCUCCACAUCCUUCUUCCACAACCUUCUUCAACUCCAACAAUGGUUGUCCUAACAGUGAGCUAAAGGGCUUCUCCAAGUUCUCCAAAUUUGUCUUAGAGAGAGAGAUGAGGAGGGAGUGAAAUGGCCUGAGACUGAGAGAAGAGGGCUUAAGUACUUAGUGGCUGGGGUAGCAGUCCAAGUGGUGACAGAUGACGUGCAACUAGACAGGUAGCAUGCAAGACAACAUGCACUCAACAAGUGGCAUUCACUGUUCAUACACGUCAGUGAUACACACGGCGUAGCACAGUCUGUGCUGGCUCUUUCUCUCUCUUCACAGCCGGUGCUGCCUCUCUCUCUCGUCACUACCGGCGGUGCCUUUUUCUCUCGUCUCAGUCGGUGCUGGCUCUCUCUCUCGCUUCACAGCUGGCAUUGGCUCUUUCUCUCUCUUCACAGUCGGCGCUUGCUCUUUCAUUCACCCCCUCUUACUUCACACACUGCGUUACCCCUUCUUAUCAGACUCCUACUGUCGUGCGUGUCUCUAUGGCCUGGAAAACCUUGGUCCUUACACGACCAAACCUGAGACCCAACGGGAUAGACAUAGGACCUAAUGGGUACAGGUAUGGGUCCAACCUUUGGACCUGACGGGUCGGGUUUGGGUCAAGUCCAAAACCUGGACUCGAAUACAUUUGGGUCUGGGUCUAGGUCUAGUCGAACCUUACCCAUUGCCACCCCUAGCCUCACUGCUAUAAUAUGAGAUUGACACCUUAUAUAAGGUUUUUUUUAUAUAAAAACGGGCAGUGAUUUCAUGCAACGGUUGUAUCAUAGUAUAAUGCAACGACACUUCUAGAAAACCAUGUUUGUGGUAUUUGUAUGAUCGAAAAUUUUACACACACUCUCUCUUCAUCUCAAUAAUCAAUCCCAAAAAAAAAAAUCAUUCAAUUUGAACCCUAAAUGAGUCCCCUCCAAAAACGAAUCUAGACCAUGCAUUUGGUGAAUUUCAAGAUCUUAGCUUUUAGAAGCUCAAAAUCAUUUUUUUCUUUUUUAACAUUAUUUAUCUAAUGAUAAGAAAGCCAUCCAAAAAAAUUCGAAAUGAAAAAAUCGUUCUAAGGCCUAGAUCUAAGCAUAUCACCAAAAUGAACAAUCUAUGUUAAUUGGGCUAAAAAAAAUACUUUUUAAGUUGUGUUUUCAAAUUUUUUACAUUUUUGUGAAUGUUCAGUAGAAUGAAAAGAGUGUAUAUUUCAAAUUUUGAAUCAAGCAAAUGGCCGUAACAUAGGUUUUGAAGGUUGGUCCAUCAUAUUACUAUACAACAGUUGCAUGAAAUGAUUGCUCUAUAAAAACUUCUUACUUCUAUAGGAAGUAAUGUGGUCCUAGGGUUGAAAAAGUUACAUAAAAAAAAAAAAAAGGAGAGUAGAAUAAGGUUUUACCAAUGAAAAGCGACCACAUGAGCGAAGUUAUUAUUCCUUAUACAAUAGCAAGUGCAUUAUAAACCAAUGUUUAAAAAGGUGGAUCGGUGACACGAAUCUGUUAGACCCACACCUGUUUCAAAUCAGUGGAUUGGAUUGGAGAAUCGGGCUAAUCGGUAAUUUCUGCCCCAAUUUUUUUAAAAAAAGUCACUAUAGAUCUCUAAAAAUAGUGUAUUUUUAAUUUCUAUAAUAAAUUAGGAGUGGUGUAUUAUGUAUUUUCAUUACUUUGUAAAAAUAGGUGAAUACUGAGGCGUUGUUUUCUUAUCUGGAUAUCUAUAAAAUUAUUAAUUAUAAUAUAGUAUUAUAAUAUUGAUUUAAAAAUAUUAAAAAACACUUCUAUAUUAUAAGAUAAGAAAAAUAAAUUUUCAUAUAAAGUGAAAUUAGUACCACAUCAAAGCAUCAAACAUUUAAUAAUUCGUUUUACUAAUCCAAAAUUAUCACAACCUAACUAACUAUAAUAUUAUAUACUGAAAUUAAAAUUUUUGGUUUGUAUUUUAAGAACAAAUCUAAAAUGUCUUAUAAUAUGAUCUAAUUUUAAAAAAUAUAUUUACAAUUAUAAGAAAAAAUAGUACACUACAUACUUUAUAAUGAAAAUAAAUUGAUAAAUAAAUUAUAAGAUUUGGUUAUCAAUGUAUAAUUAUUAGAAAAAAUUACAUAAAUAUCCGUUUUAGUGUCAGUUAUUACCAAAAUACUGAAUAUUUUCUAUUAUUACUUAUAUCUCGGUUUUUUGGACUUUAUAACAACUUUUUAAAAAAAAAGACGAAACUACUAAUUUUCGGUUUUUUAAAAACCGAAAUCAAACCAAUUUCGGUUUUUGAAAAACCAAAAAUUUUAAAACUUUAAUUUUUCAAGAACCAAAAACUUUAAAAUUUCGGUUUUUCAAAAACCGAAUUUUUCUUGAACUUUUCUAUAAUCCACUGUUUCUUUCCCCUUCUAUCCAUGUUGAUAACUUCUAUCCACACACGAAUUGCUUAUAAAACCUCCCCAUUUUCAUUCUCUUCACAUUUGUAGUUUGUUGAACCAUCAAAUCAAAGAAAGCAUGGCAUUCUUUAUCGUUACACUCGUACUUUCUCUCUCUUAUGCGAUGGCCUGUGAUGGAUGCGUCCAUCGAUUAAAGGUUGCCUACUAAUCCUCCCCUUCUGCAAUUCCAGGAACAAUUUCACGAUUCCAUUGUUUUUCUUCCUUUAAUCGUCAUUUUUUGUAAAUUUUUUAAUGGUUUUUCUUGUGUUGUUGAUUGGAGAUUGUGAUUUUCAGCUGGGCCAUGUCGUUAUGGCUCCAUGGCAUUGCUUUCAAUUGUGGGGUACGUUGCUGCUGCUUUGUGCCGGAAGGAAUUGAUUGUUUUCAGGUGCUUGCUCUACUAUUUUCUCUCUCUAAGACUUCCUUGUUCUUUUUCCUAUCUCUCUAGAUUUUUGAAUUGGGUUUGGGAGUGAGCAGAUUGGUCUGUAUGUAGCAAAGGGGAUCACAUGUUAUCGCGACAGAUUUGGUUUUUCAAAAACUAGAAAAUAAAGAAAUUUGGUUUUUGAAAAAACGGAAAUUUAAAAAAAAAAUUGUUUUUCAAUAACCGAAAUUGACCUGUUUGGUCUUUUAAAAAAAAAUUUGUUAUAAAGUCUAGACAUACGAGUAAUAAGGGAAAGUAUUCCGUAUUUUGAUAAGGGUGAAGUUUCUACAAGGUUACAACCUUAAACAAUCCAAUUAAGGCGCAUCUAAAAUUUUAUCAUAACAUUUAAUUUUGUUGUAAAAAAUUCUUAGUAUUAUCUUAAAAUCUAUUUUCAUACCUAAAUAGAAAUUUUUAAAUUUUAAAAAUCUUGAAAAUGGACAGUCUAGAUAAUGUGUUGCAAGAUGCACAAUUUCUGAGACUCAAACUUUUUUUUUUCAUAUUCAUAUAUCUCGAUGUCGAGAUGAUCGAUUAGAGUGUUUUUUCAACAAUAAAACAAUAUUUUCGAUAGAUUUUUUAGGUGCAUAUGUGAUUCUACAUUUUAAGGUUGCAACUUUAUAUAAACUUUUCCCUUUUGAUAAUAACGGAUACUAGAAUGGAUUUUUUUUCAUAAUUUUCCCUAAUUAUUAAUUAUAAUAUUAUAGUAAACAUUUUUUGUUAUCACUAAAAAUUUCUAUAAUUAGCAUUUUUUACGUUUCUAUAGUUUUUGUUAUAUAUUGAAAUUGAAAAUUUUAAUUUAUAUUUUAAAAUUAUUUAAUUACACAAAUUAGAAUAAAUUUAAGUUUUUUUAUAAUAUCAUCUAAUUAAAAAAAAUUAUUUACAACUCUAAUAAAAAAUAAUAUAUUACAUAAUGUAUAAUACAAAUAAAUUAAUAAAUACGAUACAAGAGAGGGAAUGUUAAUGGAGUGGAGUUUAGAGAGAGAGAGAAACCCAAAGUUUUUUUUGGACCAAUUAAAGUUUUUUUUUUUGGCCUACUUAGCAAAAUUUUAAAUCGACAUACAAGUUAAGAUGAAAAAGGAUGCUUACUAUGAAUCUCCCUUUACUGUAAUAUUUUUCUCCCUUUAUUUUUUGGACAGGGUUUAUGAGUUCACAGACUCAAAUCUAGAAAUGCGUGCCCCUUAAUAAUUUAUUUUUAAAAUAGAAUUUGAUCUUAAGUUUUUAAAAAAUAUAUAAUCUUUAACAUGGAGAUUAUUAAUAUAUAAAAACAAAUAAAUUUUAAAACUAAAAAUAAUAGUUUUUUGUUAAAAUAUUUGAACUGUUGAUUUUACUUUUUUUUUGAAUAAUUAUUAUUUAAGAGACCCGGUGUUGGUAGACGGUGUAGAUUUCCAAAACUCUUAUAAUAAGAUAUGCAGAUUUGGACGCACCAAACAACUUUUUUUUAUUAUUUUUUUAAAUUUUUACACAUCGCAGGGCAUUAAGACAUCAUAUGAUAGCGAGUAUCUCCCAUCAUGAAUGCACAUCGAGGGGUGGAGUUGGCAUACGGAUGCAUCCGUAGCAAUAAAGGUAAGGUUCACCUUCAAAUUUUAUCAUGGUAUAUAAUUUUGAUGUAAAAUGUUCUUAAGAUUAUCUCAAAAUCUAUUUUUAUAUCUAAUUAUAAAAUUUUAAGUUUUAAAAAUAGUUAAAAUCAUGUAAAUCUAUAAACAUAUGAAAAUCUUGAAUAUGGAUGGUGUAGAUAAUAUGUUGUAAAAAGCACUAUUUUUUAGACUUAAAAAUCUUUUUAUUUUUCAUGAUUAUAUAUCUCGGAGAUGAUCAAUCAAAAGGCUUUUCAUCAUUAAAACUACAUUGUCCCAUAGAUAUUUGAGGUGCAUCCGUAGUUCUACAUUAUAAGGUUGCAUCCUUAUAUAAAUUUUUUCCCACAUCGAGGGCCAAAAUGUGGGCACUUUUUAGAAAUGGACAGAGUACCAAAAACUACACGAAAAUGCUGCAACCCUCUCUCUCUCUCCACCACUCUUCCUACCAACAACGCGCUUUUUGUCUCUGUUUAGUACUAUACCCACGUUGUUUUUUUGAACGGUUAGUAUAUUCCCACGUAUAUGGCAUGGCGCCAGUGUCAUUUGGGAUGGUUACCGUCAUGUACGAUAGGAAACAGUACGUGUCAAAGAGCGGGGUUACUGACUUUUGCAUUGGGGUUUCUUUGGAUCCACGGAAAAAGAUUAUGGAAAAAAUUAUUUGUAUUUUUUAUAAAAUAGAUUUUUGUUGUUUAGAUGGUAUAUGGAUGCAUAAUAUUUUCAUGCAUUGUUUUUUUGUUUUAUUAUUAUUUACUUUUUGCCGUUAAAUGCUUUUGAUUGUAUUCUUCAUCAUAAUGUCUUUUUUUUUUUAUUAAAUUUGAUAUAUUUCUCUUUAAAAAUUUUCAAGUAGUUUCUUUUUAUAAAGUUCUAAAAAUUUCAUGUACUUUCUCUCUCAAAAAUUUGAUAGUGUUUCACUAUCUAAAAUUUGAUAGAGUUUCACUCUCUAAAACUUUAAUAUAUUGCUCUCUAAAACUUAAAAUAUGACGUAGUUUCUCUCUCUAAAUUUUUUGAGAUAGUUUCUAUCUCUAAAAAAAUUUAGGUAGUUUUAUAGAAAUAAGCUAUAGACUUACAGAUUUAAAAAACUAAAAAAUAUAUAUAAAUCUAUAUCAGAUGGUAAUUCAUGAUUAUCGAAAAACAAGAAUGCAAAUUAACAGAUUUGAACGUACCUGCUAUAAAGAAACGGAUUUGAUCUCUAAAAGGGUGAACCGGUCUUCACAUCUUUUCUCCUCCAAACUUGAUGGGAACUUUCUUAUUGAGAAUAAGCAAGAGAUGAGACCAUCACAUUAUUUUUCUUUUGUUAUUCUUAACCCAUCAUAAAGAGUUUAUCUUUAAGAGAGAGUGG